GUCUUUGUGAAGCUUCAUAUAAAGUCUGGCCUGCCCAAUGAUGUAAAAUUUAAUGGCCGCGGUACACUGACCGUGCGAAGGUAGCAUAAUAAUUAGUCUUUUAAUUGAAGACUAGAAUGAAAGGUUGAACAAAAGGUCAGCUGUCUCUGAGUUAAAUUUUGAAUUUAACAUUUAAGUGAAAAGGCUUAAAUACUUUAGGGGGACGAUAAGACCCUAUAAAUCUUUAUAUUUGAGUUUAUAAAAUAAAAUAUUAAAUAUGUCUUUUUGUUUGAUAAACUUAAAUAUUUUGUUGGGGCGACAAGAGCAUAAAAUGUAACUGCUUUAAAAUAAUAGUUAAUUGUAUUUAGUUAUGUGAUCCUUUAAUAAAGAUAUUAGUUUAAGUUACUUUAGGGAUAACAGCGUAAUUUCUUUAAAGAGUUCAUAUCGAAAAAGAAGUUUGCGACCUCGAUGUUGAAUUAAAGAUCCUUUGUGGUGCAGAAGUUACAGAAGGAGGUCUGUUCGACCUUUAAAUCUUUACAUGAUUUGAGUUCAGACCGGCGUAAG
rnacentral:rRNA from 1 species